CUCGUUUUUACAGUGACAUUUAAGGUUUAGAAUACUUGCUUAGAAAGUGAGUAAACUACAUGCAAUUCUCUUUUCAAACAAAAGAUCUUCAAGCCUUCUCCUUCCUCUCUUUUUAGGGCACAUUUGGGAUAGCAGCAGUUUCUUUUUGAAGAUGAAACACUUUGCAAGAAUGAAUGCAGAAUUUAUUAUGAGAGAGGGAACACAUGAAGGGCGAAGGGACUGGUCGAUUUAUUGAAGAAAGGAGAUGACUGCAGAUAGAAGCUCUUCAGGACAUGUGAAUUGUGCUUGCUGCUUCAGUGAACAUUAGCAGAACAUCUACUGCAGACUGGACUUGAAGUCAAGGACCAUAUAGCUGGCUGUGAACAGGCUGCGAUUGUGCACAGGGGAAAACAGCAAGGACUAGACUGAGUGGAUUCAGAAGAGUACUGUCUGACGUUAGAUGAAGGCAGAAUUGUGGGAAUGUCUGCUUCUAUCUCAUGCAGCCUGCGAGACAAAUGGAAGCGAUGGAUCGGCAUCAGCUCUGAAUUUGGACUGCCUGAAAAUUCAAAUGAAUUUAAAUAAAAAUUUGAAAUGGGUUGUUCCAUUCUUGUUACAGCUUCAUCAGCUGCUGCCGCUUCUGGACUGUUGGUGUUUUCUCCUCCUUUGUAAGCAGGAAACAUGGAGAGAAAGCAAACCAAAUCCCUAUGAAGGCAAUCAUCCAAACACAAAAUCUUUUCUGAAAUGCGUUACAGCAUCUCUUUGUAUUCCUAUCCAAAGAUCAUAGCUGAGCAGACCUCUUUAAGGUGGGUCAGUUCCUCAGUAGCGCUUUCACGAGCAAAGACUCUUAUAAUGGAGGAAUUCCUUCAGCAAACCAGAUGUGAGCUAUAAGCCUAAUCCGUGCAAGUCUGCUUAGAACCUUGGAACAACAUUGAAAGUGGGUUGUUUUAUUCAAGCAUAUAUAUGUGACAGAUCUUUUUCACUACUGCUAAUUGGAAGUCAUGGGCCAGUUCUUCUCUUCGCCUUCUCGAUCUCAACUCUCAAAAAUCAAAUGAUACUCAGUAUUUACGGCUAAGAAUACUGUCAGAGACAAAACACCUUACAUUCUAUAUGUUUUACAGUUGUUUGAAUUGAAUUCGUAUGAAUUUCUGCUGUUGGUCACUUAGUUAUAGAUGUAAAAUAAACUUGUAGUACAUCUACGUAGGAAAAGUAUUGACCACAUUGUGAAGUACUUGCUUCAAACCACUCUUGCCAUAGUGAUCAAGUAGAGCUUUCAAGGCUGUCAAAGAGCUUGAUUCUGCUUUCCCUGUACAGCACAGAUUGCAGACUAUGUUUACAGAAGGACUUUAGACUUUGAUACCUACUCACCAGUCAGCUCCCCAUUCACCAUUCCAUGGACACAGUAAAUUCCUUCAGGUACCAAAGCAACUAACAGCAGAGCAUUGCUUAGAAUUAUUCUUAGUUUUCCUCAUUUUGAUGUAACUGAAGUUAUGUUUGUGACUUUAUGGUUUAAGGAUUUACAACUGCCAGGCAAAUCCCUUUUCCAGCUACACUUCCAUAAACAAUACUGGAAUUGAGUAUCUGCAUUUUCAAGCACACAGUGUUUCUGUGAUAAACAAAAAGUAUUUUACUUGUGUGCCCUGCAAAACAUAGACAACUCUUCAGACCACUAUCAUAGUAAAUAGUGCUGUCAUUGUGGAAGCAGGAGUGAUGUUUUUAGCAUUUAACAGAAGACAAAGUAGAACUCAAAGCCAUUACACUGCUGUAAGGGAAACAGUUGACCACAGCCUGAAUCUCUAAUUAACCAUCUGAGGCAAGUGAUGAGUCAGCUGUGGGAGCACAGGUGAAUGUAAUUCAGCUGUGCUACUGGAAGGAGUGGAGCUUGACUCCACCUCUCCCGGAUCCCAUUUAAGGGCUGACCACCACUAAGGUAGUAUCUUUUUCUGGAGACUGUUCUUUGGUGGAGUUCUUUGGUGAGCCUCAACAUCAGCAAGUACCCUUUCUUGACUGAAGGCCUCGGAGUUGGUGAGUCCUUUUCCUUAGAUACCCUCUGGCUAUCUAUUCCAGCUAUAUUUGUAUUAUUCCAACUGUACAUUAUACUUGUAUUAUUUCAACUGUACAACACUAUACUUGUAUUAUUUCCACUGUACAACUGCUCAGUGCAAUUCAACAUAGUUCAUUGAGUAAGACUAGAACACCAGGUCUUUAAUCAGUAUAGUAUUCUGGCUUCUUAGACUGUUCUCCCAUUAAACUAUUAACUGUAAGUAAGCAUUUGUAGUGAAAAUGAUAAGUCACAGACUAAGUUGGUGACUGAAUGUCUGGUGGGAAGACAGGGCCAACCCAGGGGAGCACAGAUGUAUGCAAUGCAACUGAGAGAAUGGAAGGGGUAGAGCCAGGAUCCAUCCCUUUCCAAACCUCGUUUAAGGGUUGGCAACGAGGAUUCCAGCUUAAUGGAGAUCUUCUGAAGGUUAUAAUAUUCCUGUUUUUAAAAAUUUCUUUUGAGUUGUUUCCAACUGAAACUAGAAACAGUCUGAAGAGAGAUAUCAGCUCUGACCCCCAUGGAAGCAACUACAAAGAAAUUACGCUAAGAAUUCUGUAAAGGCUGGCGUUGUUACUAAGAACGAUUGUGUUCACUUAGUGCGUGUGCAUUGGUAAGGAGAACUUACUUACAUUUCGAACUCUAAUCCCUGUUACAUGUAAGUUUGUCUUGGCUGUCCUAGGAUCUCUAUAUUUUUUCAAUCAUGCUGAACUUCUGUCUGAAUUAUCAUCUCCUCCUAACAAUAACACCUUAACACAGCUUCUUUCCCAGCUUUCAGAAUAUGAAAUAAGAAGCAGCAUGCUCCUAUGGAAGUGAUUUAGAAGAAUAUCACUUGCUGUCUUUCUUUCCUAUGAUUUGCACUGUUAAAUACAAUAAACACAUUAGCAUUAAUCCUAAACAUUUUUAAGCUAGGCAGUUGCACAACUUAACACAAACCUAGAGAAGAUAUAAAAUUAUCAUCUUCCUGUUCUGUUGUCCAAACAUCAAAAUUUUCUAUUCUGCAUUAAUCAUUCUUUAGUCUCUCCCUUUUUGGUAAGCAGGUCAUUGUAAACAGCAGAGACACGUAGAAUAUAAACAGGAGACUGCAGUUACAGCUCUGAGGAAACAUGCCAGCCUGUAGCAGGAACCCUUGGCACCAGAAGUGCUGAAUAUCACCAAAUCUGUUAAUACAGUAGAGUAGCUCUUAAAUUGAGCCUUUUGGCCCUGUUACUACCUACAGCAAUGUCAGCAGUGAAAGGUAAAUGAAAG